rnacentral:rRNA from 1 species
UACGGAGGGUGCGAGCGUUAUCCGGAAUCACUGGGCGUAAAGGGCGCGUAGGCGGUCUGUUAAGUCCGUUGUCAAAUCCCAAAGCUCAACCUCAAAACGGCAGUAAGUACUGGCAGGCUGGACGGCUGGAGAGGCGAGUGGAAUUACCAGUGUAGCGGUGGAAUGCGUAGAUACUGGUAGGAACACCCAUGGCGAAGGCAGCUCGCUGGACAGCUCGUGACGCUGAGGCGCGAAAGUGUGGGGAGCGAACCGG